GGAAGCAUGCCUCCCAUGAGAACCAGGCUCCACAGUCAGGGGAUCCUAGAGGCACCCACAGAACCAGCCCUGAAGAGGUCAAGCCCCAGCUCCGUGGCUUCUGAGCCACGGGUUGGGGAUCGGUCUGGAUGAGAUUCUGACAGCCCCUCUGGGGACCCAGGCCAGAUGCCCAGGACACCGGCUGGCCACAGGCCCCUCCUGCAGAGGAAGAGCUGUCCACCCCAGAGAACAUCUAUCUCUCCAGGCCACCAUUCCCAGAAUGACAACUGGCUCCUGCACUUACCACCAUGUGCCACACCCUGAGGGACUGACCGUGUCAACCUGUAGACAGCAUGAGACCCAGAGAAGACUGUGCGACUGGUGUGGUGGUCCAUCUCUCCAGCUGUCUUCCUAAUUAGAACCAUCCUGGGUAUCUUCUAUAUUCAAGAAUAUGUCCCAAGCAUUCAGCGCAGGUCGUUGGGAUGGUUGGUACCCCGGACUCUGGUGCCAGUCGGUUCUCCUGUCCCCCCAAUUUUAUAG